rnacentral:rRNA from 1 species
UCGAGAAUUUUUCACAAUGGGCGCAAGCCUGAUGGAGCGACGCCGCGUGGGGGAUGAAGGGUUUCGAUCCGUAAACCCCUGUCAUUUGCGAACAAACCUUGAUUGUGAAUAGCGAUCGAGCUGAUUGUAGCGGAAGAGGAAGGGACGGCUAACUCUGUGCCAGCAGCCGCGGUAAUACAGAGGUCCCAAGCGUUGUUCGGAUUCACUGGGCGUAAAGGGUGCGUAGGUGGUCGGUGAAGUUCGGUGUGAAAGCUCGGAGCUCAACCCCGAAACGGCAUUGAAAACUCGUCGGCUGGAGGGUCGGAGGGGAGACUGGAAUUCUCGGUGUGGCAGUGAGAUGCGUAGAUAUCGAGAGGAACACCAGUGGCGAAGACGAGUCUCUGGACGACUCCUGACACUGAGGCACGAAAGCCAGGGG